rnacentral:rRNA from 1 species
CCUACGGGUGGCAGCAGUGAGGAAUAUUGGUCAAUGGACGAGAGUCUGAACCAGCCAAGUAGCGUGAAGGAUGACUGCCCUAUGGGUUGUAAACUUCUUUUAUAAAGGAAUAAAACGAGGCACGUGUGCCUUUUUGCAUGUCCUUUAUGAAUAAGGAUCGGCUAACUCCGUGCUAGCAGCCGCGGUAAUACGGAGGAUCCGAGCGUUAUCCGGAUGUAUUGGGUGUAAAGGGGGCGUAGAUGGGUUGUUAAGUCAGUUGUGAAAGUUUGCGGGUCAACCGUAAAAUUGCAAUUGAUACUGGCAGUCUUGAGUACAGUUGAGGUAGGCGGAAUUCGUGGUGUAGCGGUGAAAUGCUGAGAUAGCACGAAGAACCCCGAUUGCGAAGGCAGCUUACUAGACUGUGACUGACAUUGAGGCUCGAAAGUGUGGGUAUCAAACAGGAUUAGAUACCCCUGUAGUC